rnacentral:rRNA from 1 species
AUUGAACGCUGGCGGCGUGCUUAACACAUGCAAGUCGAGCGGUAACAGGCGUAGCAAUACGUGCUGACGAGCGGCGAACGGGUGCGUAAUACAUCGGAAUCUGCCUAGUAGUGGGGAAUAACCCGGCGAAAGCCGGGCUAAUGCCGCAUACGAUCCACGGAUGAAAGCGGGGGACUUUCGGGCCUCGCGCUAUUAGAUGAGCCGAUGUCGGAUUAGCUAGUGGUGAGGUAACGGCUCACCAAGGCGACGAUCCGUAGCUGGUCUGAGAGGACGGCCAGCCACACUGGGACUGAGACACGGCCCAGACUCCUACGGGAGGCAGCAGUGGGGAAGUAUUGGACAAUGGGGGAACCCGUGAUCCAGCGACGCCGCGUGUGUGAAGAAGG